GUAGGUGGCAAGCGUUGUCCGGGAAUUAUUGGGGCGUAAAGCGCGCGCAGGCGGUUCUUUAAGCCUGAUGUGAAAGCCCACGGGCUCAACCGUGGAGGGUCAUUGGAAACUGGAGAACUUGAGUACAGAAGAGGAAAGCGGAAUUCCACGUGUAGCGGUGAAAUGCGUAGAGAUGUGGAGGAACACCAGUGGCGAAGGCGGCUUUCUGGUCUGUAACUGACGCUGAGGCGCGAAAGCGUGGGGAGCAAACAGGAUUAGAUACCCUGGUAGUCCACGCCGUAAACGAUGAGUGCUAAGUGCUAGGGGGUUUCCGCCCCUUAGUGCUGCAGCUAACGCAUUAAGCACUCCGCCUGGGGAGUACGGCCGCAAAGGCUG
rnacentral:rRNA from 1 species